UGCACCACUUGCACCGCCACUGCGGCCCUGCCUAGCCGACCUCCCUCCUUUCUCCUCCACACACGCACUCUCUUAUGUGCUUCUUGCGCGAACACGCAACAACCAAGUGCGCCCACCGCAGUCACCACCUCCAGCCGCGUCGCCCGUUCUCCGCGACCACCUCCCUUGCUGCCGCGCCGUGCACCACCGCCCAGCCUCUCCUCUCCUCUUUAGUUUGGCGGAGAAUUCUUUGUGGGUGACUUUUGAAUUCGUUAAAGUGGCCUAUCAGUUUGUUUACACAAGUCUCUAAGGAUCAAUAAGCAUUGUCCAUCUGCAGGUUUGAAGAUGUUGCAUCAUUGGGAUCGGGAAUAGAGAGCUUGUAUUUAGUUUUGAUUUGCUAAGUUAACUUGGGUUUGUUAAUUGGGACUUUAAACUUGUCGUACUAUUUAUAUUUCCUUAUUUUCGUUGGAUGAUUCUUGGGGACUAAAUCUGUAAUAGAUUAUUUAUAAACCUAAAGUUAGUUUUAUGUUUUCCGCUGCAAAA